rnacentral:rRNA from 1 species
GUGAGUAACGCGUAUGCAACUUACCUAUCAGAGGGGGAUAGCCCGGCGAAAGUCGGAUUAAUACCCCAUAAAACAGGGGUCCCGCAUGGGAAUAUUUGUUAAAGAUUCAUCGCUGAUAGAUAGGCAUGCGUUCCAUUAGGCAGUUGGCGGGGUAACGGCCCACCAAACCGACGAUGGAUAGGGGUUCUGAGAGGAAGGUCCCCCACAUUGGUACUGAGACACGGACCAAACUCCUACGGGAGGCAGCAGUGAGGAAUAUUGGUCAAUGGCCGAGAGGCUGAACCAGCCAAGUCGCGUGAAGGAAGAAGGAUCUAUGGUUUGUAAACUUCUUUUAUAGGGGAAUAAAGUGGAGGACGUGUCCUUUUUUGUAUGUACCCUAUGAAUAAGCAUCGGCUAACUCCGUGCCAGCAGCCGCGGUAAUACGGAGGAUGCGAGCGUUAUCCGGAUUUAUUGGGUUUAAAGGGUGCGUAGGUGGUGAUUUAAGUCAGCGGUGAAAGUUUGUGGCUCAACC